GACGGAAAGACCCCGUGAACCUUUACUAUAGCUUGACACUGAACACUGGUCCUUGAUGUGUAGGAUAGGUGGGAGGCUUUGAAGCGUGGACGCCAGUCUGCGUGGAGCCGCCCUUGAAAUACCACCCUUUAAUGGCUGGUGUUCUAACGUAGACCCGUAAUCCGGGUUGCGGACAGUGUCUGGUGGGUAGUUUGACUGGGGCGGUCUCCUCCCAAAGAGUAA
rnacentral:rRNA from 1 species